AGGUAGGAUAGGAAUCUGGAGGCUC
rnacentral:piRNA from 1 species